UCGGGGGCCCUGUGCUCACCGGGUGGUGGGGGUAUUCCAGAGCCACGUGGGUGCCUCCAGCACAGGUCCAGGAGUUCAUUGUUGAGGAGGAUGCCCGUGUGGGACAGAGGAGGGAGGCCGCGACCAUGGAGGCCUAAGAAUGCCGGCAGCUGCCAGAGCUGGAAGAGGCAAAGCACAGACCCCCUGCACCCCCAAGGUUCCCGGAGCAAGUGUGGCCCUGCAGACACCUUGGUUUUGAACUUCUGGCCUCCAGAACUAUGAGAAUACAUUUCUGUUGUUUGA